GAUGAACGCUGGCGGCGUGCCUAAUACAUGCAAGUCGAGCGAACAGAUGAGGAGCUUGCUCCUCUGACGUUAGCGGCGGACCGGUGAGUAACACGUGGAUAACCUACCUAUAAGACUGGGAUAACUUCGGGAAACCGGAGCUAAUACCGGAUAAUAUAUUGAACCGCAUGGUUCAAUAGUGAAAGACGGUUUUGCUGUCACUUAUAGAUGGAUCCGCGCCGCAUUAGCUAGUUGGUAAGGUAACGGCUUACCAAGGCAACGAUGCGUAGCCGACCUGAGAGGGUGAUCGGCCACACUGGAACUGAGGCACGGUCCAGACUCCUACGGGAGGCAGCAGUAGGGAAUCUUCCGCAAUGGGCGAAAGCCUGACGGAGCAACGCCGCGUGAGUGAUGAAGGUCUUCGGAUCGUAAAACUCUGUUAUUAGGGAAGAACAAAUGUGUAAGUAACUAUGCACGUCUUGACGGUACCUAAUCAGAAAGCCACGGCUAACUACGUG
rnacentral:rRNA from 1 species